CGAACGCUGGCGGCGUGCUUAACACAUGCAAGUCGAACGCGAAAGUUUUCUUCGGAAAAUGAGUAGAGUGGCGCACGGGUGAGUAACGCGUAAAUAAUCUACCCCUGCAUUUGGGAUAACCCACCGAAAGGUGAGCUAAUACCGGAUACGUUCUUUAGAUUGCGAGAUUUAGAGAAGAAAGGUGGCCUCUGAUAUAAGCUACUGUGCGGGGAGGAGUUUGCGUACCAUUAGCUAGUUGGUAGGGUAAUGGCCUACCAAGGCGACGAUGGUUAGCGGGUCUGAGAGGAUGAUCCGCCACACUGGAACUGGAACACGGACCAGACUCCUACGGGAGGCAGCAGUGAGGAAUAUUGCGCAAUGGGGGCAACCCUGACGCAGCGACGCCGCGUGGAUGAUGAAGGCCUUCGGGUCGUAAAAUCCUGUCAGAUGGAAAGAAAUGCUAUAUGAAUAAUACUUGUAUAGUUUGACGGUACCAUCAAAGGAAGCACCGGCUAACUCC
rnacentral:rRNA from 1 species